GAUGAACGCUGGCGGCGUGCCUAAUACAUGCAAGUCGAGCGAACAGACGAGGAGCUUGCUCCUCUGACGUUAGCGGCGGACGGGUGAGUAACACGUGGAUAACCUACCUAUAAGACUGGGAUAACUUCGGGAAACCGGAGCUAAUACCGGAUAAUAUAUUGAACCGCAUGGUUCAAUAGUGAAAGACGGUUUUGCUGUCACUUAUAGAUGGAUCCGCGCCGCAUUAGCUAGUUGGUAAGGUAACGGCUUACCAAGGCAACGAUGCGUAGCCGACCUGAGAGGGGGAUCGGCCCCCCUGGAACUGAGACACGGUCCAGACUCCUACGGGAGGCAGCAGUAGGGAAUCUUCCGCAAUGGGCGAAAGCCUGACGGAGCAACGCCGCGUGAGUGAUGAAGGUCUUCGGAUCGUAAAACUCUGUUAUUAGGGAAGAACAAAUGUGUAAGUAACUAUGCACGUCUUGACGGUACCUAAUCAGAAAGCCACGGCUAACUACGUG
rnacentral:rRNA from 1 species